rnacentral:rRNA from 1 species
ACACGUAGGGGGCGAGCGUUGUCCGGAAUUACUGGGCGUAAAGGGCGCGUAGGCGGUCUAAUAAGUCAGAUGUGAAACCCCCGGGCUUAACCCUGGGCUUGCAUUUGAAACUGUUGGACUUGAGGACAGGAGAGGAAAGCGGAAUUCCCAGUGUAGCGGUGAAAUGCGUAGAUAUUGGGAGGAACACCAGUGGCGAAGGCGGCUUUCUGGACUGCCCCUGACGCUGAGGCGCGAAAGCCAGGGUAGCGAACGGGAUUAGAUACCCCGGUAGUCCUGGCCGUAAACGAUGGAUACUAGGUGUGGGAGGUAUCGACCCCUUCCGUGCCGUAGCCAACGCACUAAGUAUCCCGCCUGGGGAGUACGGCCGCAAGGCUGAA